AGUCCUACCUCAGAGGGUUUCAUGGUUCAAAGCUAACAGUUUUUCAGAUUCAUCUGAAUGAAAAGCUGAACAUUUUGGAUUUCUUCCAUAACUGAAUAGAUCACUGCUAAGCUUCUCAGAAGAUUCAUUUCCAGAGGGAUAUUAGUCUGGUAGACCAGCUGCCAAAAAGCCAUGCAGAUGGGAUUUUCAAAUAAAUACCAGAUGAAAGGAAAAGGCAAUAUAAGAAUUGGAAGCUCACGGCAAAAAUAAAGGGUCCAAACCUCAGAGCUGUAUUCGUGUCUUCUCUUGUAUGCUGCUGUUUCUGAAUCUUUGCUGGUCUUCUCAUCUUUGGCUCAGAGAUGCUGCUUAUAUUUUAUAGCGUGUGGACAACAAAAUCAUCAAACCUUAUUCUCUGGACAUUCCUUGGCAAAGCUGUUCUCACAGGUGAUUUUUAAACUAGG
rnacentral:lncRNA from 1 species